rnacentral:rRNA from 1 species
CCUACGGGUGGCAGCAGUGAGGAAUAUUGGUCAAUGGACGAGAGUCUGAACCAGCCAAGUAGCGUGAAGGAUGACUGCCCUAUGGGUUGUAAACUUCUUUUAUAUGGGAAGAAAACGUUCCACGUGUGGGAUUUUGUAUGUACCAUAUGAAUAAGGAUCGGCUAACUCCGUGCCAGCAGCCGCGGUAAUACGGAGGAUCCGAGCGUUAUCCGGAUUUAUUGGGGUUAAAGGGAGCGUAGGUGGUUUGUUAAGUCAGUUGUGAAAGUUUGCGGCUCAACCGUAAAAUUGCAGUUGAAACUGGCAGUCUUGAGUACAGUAGAGGUGGGCGGAAUUCGUGGUGUAGCGGUGAAAUGCUUAGCUAUCACGAAGAACUCCGAUUGCGAAGGCAGUUCACUGGACUGCAACUGACACUGCGGCUCGAACGUGUGGGUAUCAAACAGGAUUAGAUACCCGGGUAGUC